CUGCUAUAGACUAAAGAUGGUGCAUGGCCGGAGCUCACCAGACUGGACAUGGAUCAUUUCCAGUGUCCGUUAUACCACAAGACAGGGGGGUACCCUGAGCUCACUGCUCAUUUGCAGACGCGUCAGCGGUCCGUUGUGAAGUAUUGUGGUAAGUCCAUCUAUUUGAUAACAUUUUUUAAUUUACAUUUUGAAUGGUCCCUGUUCCCCUAAAAUGUAGUGUCCUGCAUAUUAAAAAUCAAUGUAUGUGUAUUUAUAUCCAUCCUGUUUCAUCACACAUUCACCCUGUAAAAGUUCAGGUUAUAGACAUGAUAAUUAUGUUCUAGGAGAAGGUUGUAUCAUCCGAUAUAUGAAUAUUUAUUGCUCUCUAACAAACAACUCAAAAAAAUAUUUGGUAUGUUUCUAUGAAAACUUCUUUAUUUUUAUUUCCGUACUUGUUCUUUCAAUUUGUUUACCUGAUCUUCAUUUCUUUUAUUACUUUCUUUCUUCUUAUACGAAGAAAAUUCUAUAAUUUCUCCUCUAAAUACUGAUAUUAAGGUACCCCAUGAAAUAGGUGUUCUCAUUUCAUUGCAUUUUCAAAGAAUUUGUAUAUUAAAAUUCAAGUGUGCAUAGGAAGCCUCAGAUAACUUUCUUUUGGCAUCACCCCUUCACAUUUCAUUGUGUGAGUACUUUCUCAGUAAUGACAAAGCUGUCUCAUGUUAAAUAUUUUUUCACGUGUCUCUCAUUACAGUACGCCUGGUAUUUUGCCACAGAGGCUACUUUUGACUUCAGUAUUGUAAGUAUUAAGUCAAGUCAAUUUUAAUAAUAUCAGAUCAAAUAAUAAACAAUAAAUAACAAACAUAGGAAGAAAAGAUAACAUAGUAGAAUUUAGAGUCAAGGUGUCGAGCUCAGCUUAAAAUACAUGCCAAAGAGAAGAGGUGGGUCUUAAGUAUGUAGCAGUUACUGAGAGUACUGCCUCAGGGCCAAUGUGUAGGCUGCAGAUGGUGAGUUACUUCCCAAACUAUAAUAAAACAUAUCCAAAUUGAAUGAAAUCAUGCUUACUUAAAAAUAGUGAGUAUUCAGAGUGUAUGCGCUAAGCAGGGUUGUCACAACACUAGCUGUUUUUAUUAUGAAACACAGAAUCCGUAAAUAUACUAUAAGGAAAUGAAUGCAUUUUGACUAACAUCUUUCUUUAGCAUGACAUGUCUUUUCCUGAGACGGUGGUGGUGUGUUGUCCUGGUGGAAAACCUUGGGCUGGAAGGGUAUGGGAGGAAGUUCGCCCACUUUACUGAGGAAGGAAAAUCAACCCUCCGAGACAAUGUCCCACCUGUCUUCAGGAAAAUGAAACGAAAAAGAACACUUUCAAGCUGCACAGUGAUGCCAUUGGACUCUGACGAGGACCAUGCUUACAAUAAGAGGCCUUACAGCUUUCCUUCUAAGGAGAUGGGCAAUGGAGUUACCAUGGACAAAGAUGUCUUCAGCUUCAAAGAAGACACAUCUCUCAUUUAACCAACCAUUAAGUCAUUUAUUGGUACAGGCUUUUAUAAUUAAAAUACUUUUGGUAUGGAGCUUUUUAUAUUCUAAGGUUUAUGCCAUAGGCGUAGCGGCCAUAUACAUUGGGGGGUACAAGUCCCCCCCGAUGUUCAGAUAUGCCCAAAUGUCCCCCCCAAUAAAUCGCUGGGAAUAGGGAUAUAGCAAUUCAAUAUUUCUAUGGGUAGAACACUUAGGUUUUCCCUGAAGUACACUCCGUUCCCUGAACGCAUCUCUGCACACAGUGCGCGCCGCACACCCUAAAUAACUCAAUCCGAUUCUAUCUACAGCUCUUACAGCCAAUGAGAAUAUGGCUGUUCGGGCUAGCUAGCCAAUGGGAUAGAUCCAUGAUUUGAUUCGUCCCCGCACGUGCGGCUCGGUGAC